CAGAAGAGAAAAUAGUGACAGAUUUGGGAGCUGAUAAGAGAUGAGUUCAAAUUAAAAGAGGAAGGAGGUGGAGAGAGGAGAAGCAAGGAUAUAGGUGGUUUGAGGACAAAACGAAAAAGAGGAGAUAAGAGGGAGGGAAGAUAUAAGGACAUGAAGGUGAAGACAAAAGAGGAGCAAAUUACAAAGAGGGCAGUUUAGGAUAAAAAGUGCUGGAAUUAAACUUGCAGCAACCAAGAAACCAGAGAAAAUAAUGUAAUAUACAGUCCAUGAAUGCAAACUUAUCAAAACUUGUCCAUCUUACUUUGAAAAAAGAAUAAAAUGUUAAUUUCCUUUUCUCUUCUUAGCAGCAGCGACAGGUUUCCCUUUUUUGAAGAAGGAGUCGUGUACAGUUUUAGCCACCGAGAACACAGACAAACAGCAAAAGUCUAGCGAGCAGAUUUAAUGAUUCGCAGACUACAUGGCUGUAUUGUCAAAGCGGUGUCACAAAAAGGGCAACAGCCACCAAGACAGCAGAGUCUUUAACAAGUAGACAGCAUUUAAUGGUGGCUCUAAGUAAUUUCCACAAAGGGAGGGAAGCAAGCACUGUCCGCAGUAAUAAAUAAUGCCAAACAAGUGAAGCAGGGCUGGGUAAUUGGUGUGAUCUUAACAUUUGAUAAGGCAGUAAAUGCAUCUGAAGAAAGCUGCUACAGCACAGGAGCCACUGAAACCAAUAGGUCAAAUACUGGUGUUUGUGAAGUUGGAAGGAACUGUCUUUUUUAUGAGUGGGAAUAGACUUUAACUACAAACGAGGGCGAUCUUUUAUUUCUCUCCUUUUAAUAAGACACAAGGCAGCAAAUAUGUGUGAGUUUAAAAGCUUUAAGGUGGAUAGAUUAAAAUUAAAGACAUAUGAAGAGGCAUUGUGCAUUUAUGAAGAUCGUAACGUGAAUUAAACUGAUAAACGCUGGUGACAACAGUGUUUUUUUUUUUUUGUCAAAAGCACAUUAUGACGAUGGUUAUCAUGCAUCUACCGUAAUUUUCAGACUAUAAGGCGCACUUAAAAUCCUUAAAUUUUGACAGUGCGCCUUAUAAUCCAGCGCGCCUUAUGAUUGAUUACUUGUUGUGCUCACUGACCGAUUUUUUUGUGGUACAAUGAGCUCAAAAAUCUGUCGAAAUGCUUAAGUUCAACUUUGGUAAGCAACAAAGCUGCUCUGCCCAGUGGAUAUUCAGAGCAUUACGGUACGCUUUGUCACUUCCUGAUCGGCCCUGUAACAGGACCCCUGACCAGUCUACAAGACUGCCUGACUGUAAUGCUACGUUCCAGUUACCUCAGAAGUCGGAUGUCGGAGCUGGGAAUGAUGUUACACCCGAGUUGACGACAUUCCAGUUAACAAGUCGGAAAACCAAGAUGGACUCCUACAGUUACCCGUUGUUAGCUGUUGUUUACAAUCGUCAGCUGUCGUUAGCCGUUGUAAGUUGUUAGUUGUUGUUACUGAUACCAGUUGUAAACAACGCAUAACACAGUAUUUUACUCUUACAAACACCAUAGCACCCUGUUCAAAGUUAGACAUUGGGCAGUACAACAUAAACCGCUUAUUGAAUUACACAAAAACAAAACUGAAGCACUAAUACAUUACGAUAGCUUUUACUGUUACUCUUUACUGUUGAUACACUGCGCUGCCAUCUUGAAUUAAGGCUCUGUCGUCAAGUCAGGGUUGGCAUGGGUCUUCUGAAUUUCCGAGUCAGAAAUCCGACUUCAGGGGGACGGUCUAGAUGAUUUUCCCAUUUGGAGCUCGGAAAUCCCAAUUUCCAAGUACAACUGGAACGUAGCAUAAUGUCUAAAUUAGAAGUACAUUCAUGUAAGGCAACCCGGGUCCAGAGUAUGCACUAGCAACAAUAAACCAAUCAAUGCUUAAUGCGCCUUAUUUAUGAACAUAGAUACGUUGAUUCACAGUGUGCCUUAUAAUCAGGUGCGCCUUAUUGCCCGAAAAAUAUGGUAAUGUUUAUUUGGAUUUAAAGCUGUUUCAUUCUGAGUUAAUGAUGGUUUUCUUGUAGUAAAUUCAGCUCCUUAUUUGUUGGAGCAAACAGCAAAACCAACCAACAAGUCAUCUGGAUUUAUUCUUCCUCUCACGCUUAAGUCUCCAAUUUACCAGACUUUUAAAGAAUCAGACCAUCAUUCAGCUCUGCUACGUGUGUGUGAAAAGCAUUACUAGAAAAGGAUAUUUUAUUUUCACUUGACACUUUUAAAUAAAAGAUAUUCAAGGACAGGUAUUUCUAAUGAGGCCCAGAACUGCAACCAAUAGUUCAGACGUUUUUGGGUUGAGUUUCUCCUUCCUGAAAAAAAACAGACAUACUUCCCAGGAUAUUCAAAUUUAGAUGUGAAAACCAGCUGCUAAUUGGGAAGACAUGGACACAAAGAGCACCACCUCUGUACGCCACACAGGAGACAAUGAGGCUGUUAAAAAACGAGAAAGCCUUGGUAGUGACAGAACAAUUGGAGUCAAACUCAUACACUUAACACUGCAACACACACACACACACACACACACUUACAAUGGCUCAUCCCCUGACACUCAAAACACUCAUCUGACACUCAAACGCAGGCGACUGACAGCAAAGACACGCUUCCCUGACAGAUCAAACCUGAUUUACAAUGCAUGCGUGUCGCGUGUGUGCGCCUGUGUGUGUCACUCUGCAAAGAGGAGACGAGCAGUGGGAGUUAGGGGUCAGAAUUGUAAAUUUGAAAGUGUCACAUAUCAUGUCAUUUAUCUACCCAGUGGCCCCUCCUCUCCUCAGCACACACACACAGAGGGGUGUCCACCUCUACUCCUCCUAGCCAUUCAUUCCAAUCUUCAGGAUAAUCAAUCAGCUCGUUCUGUCUUAUUUUGCUUCUUUUUCUCUUCCUUAUUUCCAUUUGUGGACUGCAUCACUGUCAACCCCUCGCUGUUAAGCAGGCGAGUCAGUCCCACAGGCAAUCUGUCCCCCAGCCAGUUACAUUUCGAUGGCUGACACCUUUGUGUUUCUGAACAUUUACCAGAAGUUUAGAAAAGCAACUCAGACUUCUAACAAUGUUUAUGUUCACAAAAUUAGUGUAACCAGGUAGGGCUGGGCGAUAAAACGAAAACAGUAUAUAUCAAAAAUUAAUUUCCCUCAAUAUCAAUAUAAAACAUGGUCAAUAUGCUUUUCGAUAGUCGGCAUUCUGCCAUGUUUUGGUAGACUAUACAAAUAGCCAAAGAAAAUAGGAGUUGCUGUGGGUCCGCUUUGAGCUGAACCAAUCGUGCUGAAUUAGAACCAAGUAGCAAACAACUGCGUAGUAGCAGGCUGCAGCUACACGCAACCAUAGCACUUAAACACGUGAAGCUGACAGCACUGUCUGUGAGAAAAAAAGAAAAUGAGUGCUACCCUGGCAGAAAUGCAGAUAAAGGCUCAAUAGAUGAUGACAUUGUUGACAACACUAGCAUGAAAACGUUGGUGGUGUGGAGGUAUUUUGGUUUUUUGAGGUUGGACAUAAUGCAGAGUAAUGUGCACUGCGAAUUUUGUCGAGUUCAUGUACUCGCAAAGUAGGGGAAUACCUCAAAUCUUUUUCACCACCUGAAGCAGUGCCAUGUGGCAGAGCACGCGCAACGCGAAAGGUUACAAACCCUCAGCGGAGCAAGGAGCCCAUGGCGCCUGUGCAGCGAAACAGCCGACCAUUCAGUCCACUUUCUCUAGAGCAACACCUUACGACAAAGCGUCAAAGAGACACAAAGACCUCACAGAUGCAGUAGAUUAUUGUAUUGCAAAAGACAUGCUAUCAAUAAGCACUUCUAAAUUUUAUUUAGGAGUAACAGGGAAGAUUGACAGGUGAUUUUUAAUAUCGUGAUAUAUAUCAAUAUCGAUUGAUAUGAAAAAGAUAUAUCAUGAUAAACUUUUUCCUGUAUCGCCCAGCCCUAUAACCAGGUAUGUGGCGUGCAGUCAAAGCCGUGUGUUUUCAGCCUUGACAUAGUACAAAGAUAAUGUUUAAAAGUUCACAGUGAUGGUCAUAGAAAGAUUUUAAAAAGUUUAUUAUGAUGGAGAAAUGUCCAGACAAAUGAGGAGAUUGACAUCACUACCACUACCAGCCUAUCUUGGAUGUGAUUGGGCACAACUUUAUUGAUCUUUUUGGGAAGGUUCCCUCAAGGAAAUCAAAAUCACUUUUCUGUUGAUUGAAAAAGUUCUGCUCAUUUAGCAUUUGCCCUCUAAUUUUAGUUUCAUGAUGACCAGUUUCAAACUGGGAGUAUCAAACCAGUAUCCUGAUCGUGUUAACAAAACCUGAAUGCAGAGGGGGUAGCAGGACAUCUGAAGUCGAGUUAAAAACAUGAUGCAUCUUGUUUUUGGAGUCUAUUCAACAGAAUAAAAGAUGAGGCAGCAAAUUACCGGACUAGCUCUCCAGCCCUCCCUGUGGUUUCUUCCUGCUUACACUGAAAUUUGUCUUUUAAAGGUUACUUAUCCAGUAUUUGCAUGCCAGUGUGCAAUGCAAUAAACUCUGACUAAAUCAGAUUCUGCUCUUCUUCAUUGUUUGAAUCCAACAUUUUGGCUGGACAUAAAAAAGCGUUAUCAACUAAGGCUGCUGCAAAUGGCCCUGACCUCGAAUGGCCCACUUUAACAGAACUUUAUCGAACUAUUCUCUGUGCACUGCAGGCAGAAGAACAUAUUUGUAUCUAGUCUAAAAAUAGUGCAAAAAUUAGAUCUUCUGAUGGAAAACUUAAAAUGGAAAAAUAUCCAAAUAGAGCACACCCUAAUGCCAAGGAUGGAGCUCGGGUAGACGUUUCCUUAAAUUAGCUAAACUAUGUGGCAUCACAUUGACCCCCGUCUGCAGCAGUUGAUAGCAUAGCUUCUAUUUUAGUUUCUGGCUGCUUUCUCAGCAAAGUGGACAAGCUGGCAGCAUCCCCUCUGAGCAAUAUAAAUACUAUUGACAGGCUCCUUCUAUAGUUCAAAUUCAAAGACAAGGAUAUGUCCCUUUGAUCCACCAGUGGAAAGUGCUGUAAUAUUUUGUGUUGGGCACCGUGCACACCUCCAUUUUAAAUCUGUAAAGUCUGCUGUGCACUAUGUGUCGGUGUGACCUGUUUACACCUCAGAAAGAGGUGUUUUUUUUUUCAUUGCACACAGUGCCUCCAUCACCCACUGCAUGUGACCUGACAGGACUGAAAAUUUGCCUCGUUUCAAGUGUUUACUUCAGUGUUUACUUCACUUCACAAAGAACGCUGGGAAACAUGGAGUUGUGGACCACUUUUUUAACACCAUGUCUCCUGUUUUUCAUGCACUUACAGAAAAAAGGUGGUCUCAAGGAAAUGAACCCAGUUGGGUGCUGUUUGAUGGAAAACACACUUCAGUUGAUGACAACAAGUAAGCAGCAGAGGUAAGUGGGCGUUAGAGUUUGAGGCAAAUGAAUUAUGGGUAGUGGGUUCAUACCUUGUAGUUAUCAAUGCUGCUGUAGGCUAACUACAGUACUGUAAGCUGGGACAAUAUGCUUUUCUCCUGAUUCGAUUCUUCUACAAUUUUUUGGAUGCUGAUUCGAUUUAAAUUGCGAUAUUGUCAUUUUUCACACCAGUGAAACAGUUGAAUGAUUAUGACUGUCUACUGACUAUUCCAGGAACCAUAUUUCCCCGAAAAAUACACAUCACAUUCAAGUCAGUUUUUAAGAUUUAUUCUAAUAUUUGGAAAAAAAAAUCGAUUUUUGAAAAAAUGGAUUUAAAAAUUGUAAAACAAAACAUUGCGAUACUUCCGUGACACGAAGUUUUCUCCCAUCCCUACUGUAAGGCGGAGGUUCUCAACUGGUCUUACUCUGGGACUCACACUUUCCCUUGGUCCUUAUGUCGUGACCCACUUGUAUAGAAUCCAGACCAAGCAAAUUAAUUUUUUUUAUAAAAAAAAACCCCAAACCUUUAAAGACUCUAAUCUUUAACAUAAAUACACCCAUUUUAUUGAGUAAAGUGCAUUUCAGAGCACAUGAACUAUCAUACUAGCACAGAAAAUACCAUAUAUAAAAGUGCACAAAACAAAGACCAAAAAAAACCCCCAUUAAUUUUACUGCAUUUGGGCUACAUUAAUAUGAAAUGGAGGAGGAUCACGACAACACUUGCCUUUCAAAAUAAGCCAUUUUUCAAAAUAAAAGACAUGUCAAACAUCAGAUGCAUAUUAAAUAUUUACUUUUUUGACCAGCUGCUCAUCCAGAAUGUACUCAUCUAGAACAUUUCCACGACCCACUUUUGGGUCGGGACCCACCAGUUGAAAACCACUGCUGUAAGCUACGCUGCUGCAAACUCCAUAUUGUUAUGAUGUGGGACAGGAAAAAGCUGCCCAUCCACCCAGAACCUGCACAUUGUGGACUGAGCUGGUUGCAAUGGAAACUGUCACAUGGGCAGACAGUUUUGAGUCCCCCUUAAACUCAUGGUAUAGUGGUGCUGCGACUUACAAAAAUCUGCAGUACAGCAGUGACAAGUCAAAAUUUCCAGCUUUAACAAGUCUACCACAUGUUCCAAGUUUUUACUUCUUUUAAUGUUGUCGCUACAGCACAAAAUCGUCCUCCUUUUAAAAAAUUCAUUCAUAUAGUGUUUUAUUUUAUACCGUCCGAGCAGCACAGACAUCAAACAGAAUGUGAUACUGUAGGGGAAAAAAAACUGUGCUCAUAUGUCUGGUUGUUGGUUUGCAUGUUUAGAGUUAUGCACUCUGAUGUAGUUGUACACCUUAGUUGUUUUUGCUGCUUGUGUGUGUCUGUGCUCGUGUGAUGUGGCCUCAGGGCUUCGUUGCAGGGUACCGCCGAGGGAAUUCCCCUAAAGCAAGAGAUCUGCAGCCAAAAGGAAAACAUGCAUCACCUCUGCUUCUCAUCUUUAGCUUUUGCAUGCCCCAGUCACAUAGAAGCAGACACAUUUAGCCCUCACCAUCACUGCAUGUACACACAUACAGGCACACACAUUUACUGAAAACAGCCACGUACUUAUUUUCCUGAGGAAUUUGAACACAAACAGUGUAAGUGCUCCUGCAGACAUUAAGCGUUGAAUGUAAUGCGGCGUUGCCAGAAGAUGAGCUGUGAAAAUUGAUGAAUGACUCUGGGGAACUGGUCCAAUAUACCUUUUGAACAUUUAACAUCGGAUUUACCACGGUGUGUUUGUGCACAGUCUGUAAUCCACAAUAUGGCCAAAACGGCAUCUUGUAUUGUAAAAAUUCCAAGUCUAUCCUGUAAUCAUCUUCUUGAGCACCAUCCCAUUUCUGCUUUUCAGGUAGGAACCUGGCUGGUGAUGGAUCAGAUUUCACAUUUCUAUACCUGUAUCUGUAAAAAGUUAAGCCAAAUUACCUCUGGUCACAGUCCAUGUGAACAACCAUCAGCUCUUGCUGUUGGUUAUAGUAUGCUUAGGUAUUACAACUGAGUGUGCACUGUUGGUAACCCAAAAAACAAAGCUUUAAAAAGAAAACACAGCAGCUUGUGAAUUAUGGGGUGUUGCAUUUAUUGUGCAAACAAGGCGCUCCAAAUCCAAACCCUACAAGUUCUCUGAAUUCGACUGAGAAAGUCUUUCUUCUGUACAAACAGAAAUCAUAACUACAAAAGAAAAUGAUAUACAAGCAAUUGAUCAGACAUUUACUGAACAAUUCUAACAACAAAUACGUUUAGUCAAACUUAUAUGAUUACCUUUGAGUCUAUUUUUUAGUGGUUCAAGGUUAAAUCUAAAAAGAAACUGCACUUGGUUAAAGCUCUUAAAGACGUUUUGCAUCUAAUAUGAUCAAACUGAAGAAUUCUCAGCCUGAAGAACUUGAACUAAAUCCAUUUGCAUUUUGGAAUAAACUUUGGAUAAUCAUGGUUAUUUGGAUGGCUCUGAAUCCUCUCAGACUUAUAUUGCAGCACAAACAGCUCUUACUCUUGAGGUCACGGAAAGAGCAACACAGAUGAGACCAAAACCUAAAGCUGAAAAACAAGUAGAAGAAUGGCUGAUAGAUUUUUGAUGAAACUGUUGUUUUUCCUAAAUCCCCGACGUGUUAUAUGUCUAAGAUUUGGAAGCCAAGAUGGAAAGGGACAGGUCAACCUUAACCUGAAUUGCACCAAUUUAGGAGCUUCAGAUUUCUUGUUCGUGCUCCCCAAGCACAAGCUGAGGUGUUGGAGGUAUUUUCAAGUUUAAUUGAAUGAUUGAGCCUCAGCAACAUCAAAGUCAAAUACGCAUGAAACAAGCCUUAACUUUCCUAAUCAGCACAAAGUAGACCGAACUGCAUAUUCAUGUUAGUUCAAAAGCCAAAAGAACAAAAGAAGUUAAAGAAAUAAAACAGACUAUUUUCUCCACCAAAAACAUUCCCCUCCGAAAUCUAAAGACUGUUUUUUUUUUUUUUUUCCACAAAGUCUUCUAUUUGCAAGGUUCCUAUGCACAAAUAUGUGCAAGUGUCAAGAUUACAGCCUCCAGCAGUGAAAUACCUCCACACAAAUCAAAAAUCUCUCAACCACAGCCUCCUGCUGUUAUGUACUAACACACAGCUCUCUCUGUCAAACUAGUUCUCAGUACUGAGGAGCUGGUGGCACUAGUUUGGAGCUGGGAUCAAAAGUGAAGCCUCAGUGGGGCGGCUGUAAUCUGCUCCAUACAGAGGGCGCGAGCUGACGUCACUCAUUUUUAAGUACAACCUCUGCGCCUCACCUCAUGUGAAUAAGUAAACAUCUUACACACCGGGAGGGAAACAAAGACAUAUCUUCAAAAGGCCAUUUGACCAAUCAGUGAUGUGCAGAAUAUUCUGGACACUCAGGGGAAACUUUAGAGAAACUUUUCUGUCCCAACUGCAGCUGGGUCAUCGAAGGUGGGACAUGGGUCAUAACCUAGUCUCCUUAAGGUAGCACAAUCAUGGGUCUCUCACAAACCAUUGACAUCAACAUCUUCAACUCGAUUUCAUUUAUUAGAAAUAAAACCGUAAAGCCAUUUAAAGUCAGCUACAUAGUGUCCAAGUACUUUGAUCAGAUUCAUGAAAAAAUGUUGGUUUUGGGGUUUUAAAUUUGGACAAUUAUGAGCUCAGUUAGUUUGUAGCUGCUCAUUUUAAAACCAGACAGACCAUGAUGAACAAGUCCUGUUUCCAAGAAGCUUCGAGCUAUAUCGGUUAGCUUGCGUUACACUGCACACAGCACACAAGUAGCUCACCUCCUGUUCACAGCAAAAUACUGUAAAUGUUAACAAUACAGCUUGUUGAAACCCACAUUUCUAUCUUUAUCAACCUGGGUUAACAUAUUCAGUCCAAGGUGUUGACACACUCAUACCUACAACCAGCAGUCAGUGUUAGCCGCCACCAGCAUCUUGAACUUCUUCUUGGUUUCUCAGUAAAACGAAAAAAAUAUCAAAGAAGUUUAAGUCUAUUAGUCUAUUAGUUUUUUAGCUUUAGGUAGUCUGUUAGCUUUUGUAUCCUGACUUUUCCCAAUUACAUUAUUUUCUUCUGUUAACUCUUCACCUUUAAGGGAGCACAUGAUGGUAACUACCAUAAGUUUGCCUGUUAAUGGCUGAUUACUGUGGUAUUUUAUGCUGCAUUCCAGUUACCUUGGAAGUCAGAGCUGGGAAUGACGUUACACCUGAGUUGACAGCAUUCAGAUUAACAAGUCAGAACACCAAGAUGGACGCCGUUAGUUAGCCGUUGUUAGCUGUUGUUUACAAUUGUCAGCUUCCGUUAGCUGUUGUCAGCUCUUGUUAGUUGUUGUUAGCUAUACCAGUUGUAAACGGCACGUUUUACUCUUACAAACACCAUAGCAACAUGUUCACAGUUCGACGUUGGACAGUAUAACAUAUACCACUUAUUUAAUUUCACAAAAACAAAACAGAAGUGCUAAUAAAUAAUACAUUCGUAUACUUCGUCAAGUUGGGGUUGUCGGGCCGACUUUCUGAGUCAGAAAUCUGACAUCAGGGGUGCGUUCCAGAUGAAUUUCCGACUCGGAGCUUGGAAAUUCCGACUUCCGAGUACAACUGGAACGCAGCGUUAUACCAAAAUGACUUGAAUUUCCUUCAAAUAACAGGAGCUAUCCCUCAUGUUUGUACAACACAACACUGUUUUAAUAUUGUGAUAGCAGGGACAGUGGCACGUCUCAGUAUAUUCAUAUGAGAGUCUGAUAGUGUUUGUUUCCUGAUUGAAGUAGUACAAAAGACUCUGCUUCAGUACAUUAAAUAAAGGCAGCAGGACAGUCAAGUUGAUAACCUGCACUCUUUAAUUUGAGGAAGUGCAGCACCAGAGCACACCACCAUUAAACUGUUUACUUUCAUCAUAUUACAUGCAAAUGACACCUUGCUGCUCUGAAGUAACCACAUACACCCUUGCACGCAUCAGGUUGCACCCUUAAAACUCGGCAUGCUACUGUUAUGCUGACGACAUGGGGAAAACCAAGGCUCAUUAAUUCUCAGCUUCAGAUUUUUUUUACCCACUUAGUUGUUCAUAUUCUGUUCUAAAAAUGCAUCCAAAAGCAAAUACAUGUGAGGAUAAAAAGAGUUAAGGCUGUAUUUGUAUUUUCUUUGUCUUUGUGUGACUAACUUUUUACAGAACUGUCUUCAUCUGUCUAAAGGUGCAGAUUUGUGGUGUGGCUCUGCACCAUCCUGUCAAUAACAAUAUUUCAUUGGUGUGCUGAGUCAUCAUUGUUUUAUGCAGUUUCUUUCAAGUUUUACUUCAGCACUGAGACCUAUGGUGUAACUAGUGUGCAUUUACUCGACCUUUAACCUAUGUUGAACUGUACCCAGACCCUUGUGAACUUAGCACUCUUGCCUGUAAAAACUGGCCUGACUUUUCCUGCAAGAAAACAAUUGGACCCUUUAUACUGACUGGUUAACUGGCUAUUAAUUUAACAAAGCAUUGGAGUUAUAGUCUACAUGUAAAUGAAAGUAAAAACAGUGGUGAAUAGGUUAGAUUAGGGCUGGGCGAUAAACCGAAAAUUUUCCCGAUACCGAAAUUUACGACAUUAUUUUCCCCAUGUCAAUAUAUUCGGUGUCAAAAAAACAAAUGAAUAAAAGUUGGUUUUGGAUGUGUGUAGGUAGGCUAUGGUCUCAUGUCCCUUUAAGACGCUGGACUACGACGGAGACAUGACUCCACCCUAUCCAGUCCGUAACAAAGAGGCAAAGACAGAUGAAGAGAUGGAGGACGGUUCAAAAGUUGUUGCGGUUGGAGCGGCGGCUAAAGUAGACCAAGUUAAUGUGGGAGGGGUUAAGCAUCUUGUGGAGUAGUUAUCGCCCAUUUAACGUUAUCGAGGUGAACUGCUCAACAUAUCGUAAUAUUGAUUUGAGGCCAUAUCGCCCAGCCUUACUUUAACCUAUGUUGAACUUCACCGAGCCCCUUUUGAACGCUGCACUCUUGCAUAUAAAAAAACUAGCUUGUCUAUUCCUUUAAGAAAACUACUGGAUCCUUUAUACUGACUGUUGUUUUGGCUUUGAAUUUAAAAAAGCAUUUGAGUCAUUGUCUAUAUGUAAAUGAAAAUAAGAACAGUGGUGAAUUGGUUAGAUGUUACUUUUUCUUAUGUCGUAAGGCUUCUUUUUCAGAUAUGUCUGGUACAGUUUACUUCAUAACUUAUGACCGGUUUUAAACUUUUCAAACUUUUAGUUAAAUAAGUUCUAAGUUGCUGCUGCCUUAUAAAUUUCAGAUGCAAAUAGUUUAUCAAAUCAACGAGACGGUCUUGCUUACAAUGUGGUUCUUAAGAAGUUGCUUUGUUUAGGAGUUUCUGUGGAAUAAUUCUGGCCAUAUCUAAGCCGGUUUUAUUGUUCUCAUUAAUAUUUCAUUAUGUCUGCGACUCAGAAGUAAAAAUGGUGAAUUAUUUCUACCAAUUGACCUUAGAAUGAGGACACGUUGCAGUGGUGAGCCAGAGAAUAUAUUGAUUCACUGGUUUCAUCAAAGUAUGAACAAAAUGAGCCAUUGUCCUAAAUUCAGAGGUUCACUGGGUCUGACUAAUGUGAAAGAUAUUUCCAAAUGGGAAGCGGUACAGAUUUGAUGUUAGACAGAGCUCUACACAUAAUAAUCAAGAGGAAUCAGCACCAUUACUUACUAAUUAGCUGCUUGGAUGCCAGAUGAGAAAUAGAUGCAGGAUAACACAGACUGGAAACUGUGUUGACACAGAACACAGAGCCAAACAAUCCGUUGUGUUCCUUGUUGUGGUUGUUAGAAUAUUCAUCAGGAUCUUCUGUACUCAAAAAUAGCCUCCAUGCAUGUUACUCAUCUAGCAAAGCAGUUCGAUGUGACUUGUUUUCGCAAUAAGAAGAAUGUUUGCAGCAUGUUUUCCAUUUUCAUGUUUUUUUGUAAACACCUUAAACGACGGCUUGUUGUGGAAGUUUUCGACCAUCAGUUAGUUAUUAUUUAUCAAAAGGACCCAGAGAUAUUUGGGGUUUAUGUUCUGGAUGUUUGAGUGUUUUCCUGGCUGCGAAAAGAAAAUAUAACAGCUGAUAUUUCUGUCUUUGUAACACCCAGAGCACAGAACAAAGAAAGCUGACAGCCAGACGUCAAUUCUCUUUCUCUCUUUUUCAAUGUAUGUGUGUGUGUCUGCACAAAGUCUUGGUUUGGAUGUGUGUACAUUUUUGUUUCUUUUGGAUGCACGAGCACGCCUCUAUGUGUGUUUGUGCACUGGAAUGUGUUAGCACAGUUGUCCAUGCAUGUUGUGCCGUCAUGCCUGCUUGCCUGACCGGCCAAAUUCGGUUCGAAAUACAUAUUCAGCACUUUGCCCCCCAACCCCCCACCCCCUUUCCUUCUUUUCGCGCCUCUCUUCUGCUCUCUCCAUUUUUUCGUCUGUUAUUAGAUAGGACAACUCUCGCCGCCGGCAAUUCUCCUCUCAGCACUCUACAUCCAAAGGCAUGUGUGUUUUGGGAACUCGAAUGUGUAUGUGAGUGUAGGUACUUUAGCAUGCUGUGUAUAUUAGUAGUAUUCUGCAAAUACCUUUGUUUUAGCGUGUGCACUGCGUCAGUAUAUGAACAGCUGUCUACUGUGUGUAUCAGGUGCAGAAAGAACAAGAGCGUGUUAUUGAGGAUCUGUUUCGUCCUUCUCUCUGCAUCCUCCCAUCCUCCAUCAUCGAUUAUGCCACCAAAAUGACAGGAGCCCCACUUUCACUUUGACCCCUAUCUCUUGGCCCACCUCUCCCUGAACUCCCUCUCUCUGCCUGUCCACACACACACACACACACACACACACACUCAAGCUCUCCGACAUGCUAACCCAGACCCACACACAGACACGCGUGCAAGAUGUAAGAGCCCGGAGGCUUCAUCUAUUAAAGGUCCAUCCAUCAUCACAUAUUAUUUUAAUAUGGAUGGGGGAAAAAAAGAUGCUUAUGCAGCUUAAAUGAGAAAUUCUGAGACCUACAUGCUGCAGUCUGAGCUUGCCCAGAAACCUGUAUAAGCACUUAAAUGCAUGCACACACACUCAGAAUCACUGAACAAGGUCAAUGCGCUCAGCCAAUUAUAGCUCAUGAGAUGCUGCUUUCUGUUGUGUGUGUGUGUAGAGUGUGCUGUUUGUGCUGUCUUUGUGGUGUGGCACACGAUUACAUGAGUAUAUAAGGUUUUCUACAGCUCCCUUGGGGCACAUGCCAUAAUGCAUGCAUUCAAUGUGUUUUGAUCUUACAUUCAUCUUUUACGCUUCUCUUCUUUGCAUCAUUGUCAUCCGUGUCCCUUAUUUUGGCCUCCAGGCAUCUUAGUUUGGGUUAGCACCAUGUAGUGUUUCCCAGUCCCUGCUUUGCAAAACCACACAGACUUAUCAUAAUUUUAUUCAGUUCAUUUCAUCUGGGUCCAGAUCGAGAUCAAUUAAACAUUUAAUGCUAAAAAAAAAAAAAAGGCUCAGAACUCGCAAAUAUUUAGAUAACUGUGUUCAUCUCUAGAGCUGUUCCUAUCUCAAUUAGGGCUGAUUUGGCAUCAGUUCUGGGUAAAUUAAGACAUGCUUCAAAGUGAAGACGGAGCUACAAACUCAUACUGCUCAACUCUAUAUACUUCAGCAGAAACCAUGCCGCUUUUCUUUACAAGACACUUCCAAUAAUAUUCAUUGCUGAGCAUUGCAAAAGCAUAAAUAAAUAUCUUCAAGGGGGGUUGGAGCUGUGAAACUCAAUCAAUGCUGACACUACAAUAACUCUGAAGUCUUUUGGAUUGUUAUUUUUGUCAGUUGACAAUCAUUUGUUAGAGAAAUGUAUUAAUUUAAACCACAGACACAGAUUUUGGCUCAGAAAUAGAAUGUUUUAAAGCUUUAUCUCUUUGUAGAUUGAAAAUAGAUCACUGGGUUCAUGGGAAUACACUCGGAUUACAAUUCAGGCCGACCAAACCGAAAGUAAACCAGUUGGAAAAUACCUGUUCAGGGUCUCUAUAGAGCUGCUUUGAGACUGCACUGCUUUGGCAGAGUGCUAUCGAUUGUGCUGUGAUAAAGAUUCAAAAGUUUGUGUGGGCAGAGCUUCCACACCCUGCAACCUCUUUCCACAUGCAGCCUGGAAUCAAUUCCUUACUUGGCAUCACCAGCAGUCAAUAAAGCAGUGCUGAACUCAUUUUUCAACAGGGUGUUUAAAAAAUGAGUUUGUUUGAGGGAUUCUUUGCCUUUUGAAAUUAGGCCACCAUUCCUGACAAUAACCUGAGUAACACCAGCUGAAAGACAUAACAUCACCCUCUGCUGCAGGCUUACAGUUUAGUGAAAUACAUCCUGAAAUGGUAAAAUCAUUAACUCCUGGAAGGCAGUUGCUCCGGUGAGUUAGACAAGUAUUGUUUUCUCUCGAUAAACAACACCCAAGCCUGUGUUAAGCUAUUCGAGCGGAGGGUGUGGAAUGAAGACGAGCACAGGCUGCAGUGUGAAACAUACCCAAACAGAUCUAUUAUAAGCUAUAUUGAUCCAUACUUGAAGACCUACACCUCAGUGCCAGCGUGGUGGGCUUCAGCAUUGCAGUCUGAAAAUGGAAUUUCCCAUGAGAAGUUAAAUGUAGCCAAGCAAGUAAAGUUCUUUUCACCUGCUUCUAGCUACUCGUGACAAAACCUCCCUUUUUUACAGCGUGGUCUUUUGCUGUAGAUCCAGGACAAACUGAAACAGCGAUUCCCUUGUCACAACUCCUUUUUCCACUAAGUACAUUAAAUGAAACAAGUUAACCAAGGUCAUGUUAUUUAUCUCGGCAAAGGGCGUAGGUGUGGUUGCAGGAAAAGACAGAGGUGGAAAACAAAUAGUCUCACCUGGGAGCAGGAGAAAAAACAAACCCUGUUGCACUAAUAGCCUUUGAGUGGGCUGUAUGCUGUCAAUGCCAAGUAAAAACAGCAGUCACUGUUUAUUGCUAUACACACUAAUAGAGGAAAAACCUAGAAAGCACCUGCGUUAAGAGCAAAUUUGGAUACUCAACAAUCAUCUCUCAACAGCAGUCUUUUAUAUGUAUAUGACUAUGGUAGUUAAUGGACAGCCUCUGAUUUGUCCAUUUGUGAAGAAAGGUUUUUCCAUUUCAGUCCAAUAUUUGGAGAAAAUAAAUUAAACUAUCAUAAUAUCUAGGCACUUAGGAGAUUUAAAGAAUAAAACCCUGUUUUAAAAGCCAAGGCCAAAAUCAAAGUUCUCAGGAUUGUUCAGAAACACACUGAAUACUUGAAUCAACUUGCCUUGGUUUACCUGUCCCUGAUUUUGCUAAUCUAUACAGCGUCUCAAACAAAGGAUUUAAGGUUGAAUAAUCUUUUUAAAAAUGUCAUUGCUUCCAAAAGUUGUCAGCCUCAAGCGAAGCCCAAGUGCGCUCACUUUUAGAAGAAACACAACCUUGGGGACAGAUUAUUCAUUUAAACCAGUCAUUUGAAUGACCUUAUUGGAUAAUUGUUAUGUUUGCUGAGAUGUUAAUAAUAUGAUCUUAUAAAAGCUAACCAGCAUCAUGCUAUUAAAGGUAUAGGUGCAUGCCACAGUGGCAUCAGCUGUUCCACUGGCAUAAGGCGUUGCAUGCCAUCAGCCUCUUUUCUAUGUUGAUGCUAUUACUGUCUCCACAAACCAAGCGCGAGGAAAAUCAUUCGCGCAAAUGAAUUACAUGUUAAGAAAAUGCAAAGAUGCAAUUGGAUGCUUGUACUACUCUGGAGGCGUGAAUGAUGUGAAUCGGGCGGGAGCUGAAAAUGUCUCAACUUGAGUGGAUAUUUGCGUCGCGAUAACCGAUCAGAACGAAGUUUGCAGGUUGAGGUAUGAAAACGGACGGUUGUUCACAAUGGUAUCUAAAUUGGAGGACGAACUGAUCGUGUCAGUGUGUGGGUGCCCCAACUUAUAUGAUACCUUUACUUUCAAUUACCAAAACAUGAAUAAAAAGGAGCUUGCCUGGAGGCAAUUGAGUGAGGAGGUCAGAUUACCUGGUAAAUUGUAAAAAACCUUUGUCUAUCACUUGAUCCUGCUGGUUGAAUUGGCAGGGAUUACCGUUGAAAUUAGCAUAAACUGUAAUGAUGCGCAAAUGAAGAGAGUAAAUGCUAUUCAUUCACGCAUCUAGAUUUGCGAAUUAAGCGAAUAGAUGAUUUUACUUGCACUUGGUGUGAUCGACCAUUAUUCUGGCAUGGGGUAUUUUGAGGUGACUGGACUGCAUUAUUGAUUCCAGUGCAUCUUUCAUGAGAAAACAUCAUGUUUCUUAUCUACCAUUGGUAUUGGAUUUCUAAUAUUAUACUAAAUACUUGUGGAUUCUAUAUGUGCUUUUAUUACAAUUAUGCCAUGCUGAUUCAUAAAUCACUUUCAUGUUACCUGUAAGUAAAACUUAGAAGAAAUCCAGUUUUCCUAUCUCUUUUGCUGUGAUUGCAUAUGAUGGAUGCACAGAGAUUCUCUGGCUUGUUUUCAGACUCCAGUAGUCAACCCGACUCUUCUUUGCCUGAGGACUGCACUACUUAGGCCCUUUUUUUAAGCUCUUAAAAGUGAAAAGCUGCUCUGCCUUUUCUCAGAGUCUUCCCCCAAGGCUGCCAGCUGUUGUUCCCUAAUCCACCCUGCAUCUUUUACAGCAUUCAGACACAUGUAAUAUUUAUUUGAUACGCCUCUGAAUGGACGAUUACACUUGUUACCUGCUGCCUCAUUUUGGUGUUGGAUUUUAAGUCAGGGUGACAGGGGAAGUGCAAACACUUGCAGCCAAGUCCCAUUUUGCUUCAAUCCAACCGGAAGUAUUUGUGUCGCACUUUGCAUCUGUUUCUGACACUGAAAGGAGAAGGAGGUAAUUUCCUCCAGACAACUCUUGCCUUAUGCAGUGAUGUUUCUGUACUAUAAGUAAAAGCUUGGCUCAUUUAUAGGUAACGACUCACUUAUGUGACUUCUACUUAAAAGUCAUGCUUACUUUGGCCUCCU
rnacentral:lncRNA from 1 species